rnacentral:rRNA from 1 species
UACGUAGGGGGCAAGCGUUGUCCGGAUUUAUCGGGCGUAAAGAGCGUGUAGGCGGCUAGGUAGGUCCGUUGUGAAAACUCGAGGCUCAACCUCGAGACGUCGAUGGAAACCAUCUAGCUAGAGUCCGGAAGAGGAGAGUGGAAUUCCUGGUGUAGCAGUGAAAUGCGUAGAUAUCGUGAGGAAGACCAGUGGCGAAGGCGGGUCUCUGGACAGUUCCUGACACUGAGGCACGAAGGCCAGGGGAGCAAACGGG